rnacentral:lncRNA from 1 species
UGUGCCGGGCGGGGGGGGGAACUAUCUCAACAAUCGUCGCGUCGGCGCUUUAAGCCCUGGGCGGAGCUUGAUCAUUGAACUUGCUACUGUUGUCUGCAGUGAUAUCAUAACACUGCAAUAUGAAGAAGCGCUCAUAUGACCGCCGCACGUCUGCAUCCCAGAGGAAGACACACACAGGUGCUGUAACUGGGGCAAAGGGAAGGCAUGAGGAAUAAAAGAAAGAGGAAGGAUGCCAGCUGAGCCCCUCAUCCGCCUGCGACUGCCACCGCUGCCAGCAUCGAACUAAAGAAGCACAGAAAAUGGCUCAGUCUGUGAGGAGGCCCGAGACUCUAGGAGCCAUGGACCACGAGCCCCAGAGGGACAAGGCCAGGACCAGCUACUUUGGCAACGUCAAGACCAGGCUGGGCUCCAAGCUCCCUCCAGGGGUCUCUCAGCCUCCACAGUUCGCUAAGGGGCCCUGGGAGACUCAACCUCAGGCCCGAGUGACGCCGAGGCCAAACGCCAGCAGCCAGCGUCAGAACCGGCCCGCCGUGGGCCGGCCUCUCAACCACAUCCCCCACAUCAGAAACCCCAAACUGCGGCAGUACUACCUGCAAGGGACUUCAUGGGAUCUCAACAAUGCGGCCGUGAAGCAAGAAUCUAUGAGUGGACCGUCAGAUGACAGCUCAGGCAGCAGGGGUCUCCCUGGGGACACAGUGUUCAGCGUGUCAUCUCAGUUCAGCAGUGUCGCCAUGUCCUCGGCAGAAGAGGGCAAAAUGGGUCUCCGUCCCUCCCGUUCCUCCUUGAACUUGCCCUCCUCGUCUGCUGCCCUCGUCUCCAGAGAGGGGAAACACCCCUCUGCCGGUCAAGGGUCGUCUCAACCAGAACUGGACUCGGACUCAGAUCCUAACCUGAAGCGAGAGGUGGAGGCGGAUCGGGACUCUGUGGAUACACUUGCUGCUCAGCCUCAGUCCCCCUCACCAGAGGCAGAAUAUGACAAACUAUUGGUGAGUAGAAAAAUACAUUACAUAAUCACUUAGGAAGCACUAGUUCUGGAUUGUUUUUUGUGUAAGUGUAACUGAAGUGAACAGCAAUUAACUUCAGUUUUAUAUGAGAGUGAUAUGAAUUUCCAUUGUAUGCUACUUUAUACUUCUACCCAGUGACUCUUCAGAAAGAAGUACUGUACUUGUACUCUAUUUACUUUGUUUGACAGCGGUAGUUACAAGUUACCUCUCGUAUUUAGAUUUUACAAUGAGGAUUUUGGAAGAUUUUACAUACAAGAUGAUACGCUGCUUGGAUACGUUACACCAGCAGUGAUCAUAUCACUGGUUUUCACCACUUUCACUUGUGACGUUGUUACAGAGAGUUUUUUCUGUUCCCCUUUACACUUUCCAAAGGAUUUCAUUAAAGUAACUAUUUAAACUAUUAUAAAGAGUAGAGAAAAGUCCACAAAAAUGAAUUACUCCAUUAAUUAUCUAAUGAUCCCUCAUAUUCUUGUGUCAUGACUCUUUAUUGGAAUACAGUCAGCUAAACCAGCUGUAAAUAAAGUAGUUAUAACCAGUUCCAACUCGAGCGGCUCCAGCAGUCAAUGCUGCAUUAUUGCAUCAGAAUGAACCAGUGUUUAUGUACUAUGUACUUAGUGUUUUAGAGUAUACCAAAGCACACUUGGUUUGUCUUUCCACAGUCACCUCUUGUUUGGUCGAAAUAAAUCCGCAAUCUUCCUCUAAAUUUCUUUUUCAAGUUAUGACUUCAAGCAUUUUAGAGUCUUUAGGUGCCAAAGUAACGUGACAUGUCAAGCUUCAGUUCAGGAAAGAUAAUCCCAAUGUUGAAAAAAAUAAAGGGAUGCAAGCUAUACUGUGUAACAAGCCUCUCUCACCCUGAGGUGAACUAAAGGUUAGGAGCUUCUUUUUUAAAAUACAAAAAUAUGAAAUAAUUGCUUAUG